GACAGAGGGUGCAAACGUUGCUCGGAAUCACUGGGCGUAAAGGGCGUGUAGGCGGGAAGGAAAGUCGGGCGUGAAAUCCCUGGGCUCAACCCAGGAACUGCACUCGAAACUUCUUUUCUUGAGUGCCGGAGAGGAAAGCGGAAUUCCUGGUGUAGAGGUGAAAUUCGUAGAUAUCAGGAGGAACACCAGUGGCGAAGGCGGCUUUCUGGACGGUAACUGACGCUGAGA
rnacentral:rRNA from 1 species